GUUCUGGAGACUCAACAUGAAGCUACCGGCCAGGGUUUUCUUUACUCUGGGGUCCCGGCUGCCCUGUGGCCUCGCUCCUCGGAGGUCUGAAAAAUGAGUAAAGAUGGAAGCCAAAGUAUCACUUUUAUUGUGGUUUGUGAGAGGAAGCUGGGCCUAUCAGCUGGAUCUCCCGAAGUAGGCGGACUUACAUAACUCUGGAGGAGGGCAGAACAUUGUCCUCUGAAGGCAGCUGGCUCCCAAAAGGAAGAAGACCAAGGAGAACUGUUCAUACCCAACGAUCCUGUCAAAAUUUACCAGUCAUAUCAACUGUCUCUGCACAGACAGAUUGUACCUCAGUCUGUGUUGCUAUAAAGGAAUACCUGAGGCUGGGAUGAAGAUGGUACUACGACAUUCAUGAUGGAUCUGCCACCAUAACCCAGGCACCUCCCAUUAGACCCCACCUCCAACAUUGGGGAUCACAUUUCAACAUGAGUUUUCAAGGGACAAACAUCCAAACAUCCUUAGCAGGUUGACUAAGGGGACAGAAAGAAGCCUGGAGUUGUACUACCUGAACUUCUCACAGUAGGG
rnacentral:lncRNA from 10 species